CUAAAAUAGAACUUGUUCAUCCUCAGUAAUUCCUUGUUCUUUAACUGUUGCUUCAGAUAAUCAUAUUUCCAGGGCAGCGUCUAAUGUGGUCACACUUGCUAUGAUGUAAUCAAUCAAAUGAAGACUCACAGAAAAAUUCAUUAACUCGGCAGAGAAAAGCCUCCUUCCAGGUGCUUAGCUGAGUUAUUAAUAUUGGAAGGAAGAGGACAUACAGUGAGCAGGCUGUGGCUGAGGCAUGCAGGGGACCCGGCCGUGGCAGCGGUGGGAUAGUAGCAAGCAGUGAGGAUUUCUGCGCUCAGCGUGCGCUUUAAUACAUCAUGUAUGCUCAUCAUACCAAACCGCACCCCAUGCCUCUGCAGAUCUGUUCAGAAGAUCUGUUUUCUAAGUCUGACAACUCUGCAAAAGUUUAUGACAAACUAGCAGAAUUCCUUUUUUUCUUCUUCUUUCGUUCUCUUUCUUUUUUUCUUUUAGCAAGAGCACUUAAGCAGCAUCACUUUUAUCAACAAAAGUA